rnacentral:rRNA from 1 species
CCUACGGGAGGCAGCAGUGAGGAAUAUUGGUCAAUGUGCGAGAGCCUGAACCAGCCAAGUCGCGUGCAGGAUGCCGGCCCUACGGGUUGUAAACUUCUUUUGUAAGGGAACAAUUGGGUCCACGCGUGGGCUUAGCGAGAGUACCUGAAGGAAAAGCAUCGGCUAACUCCGUGCCAGCAGCCGCGGUAAUACGGAGGAUGCGAGCGUUUUCCGGAUUUAUUGGGUUGAAUGGGUGCGUAGGCGGAAUAUCAAGUCAGCUGUAAAAAUUCGGGGCUCAACCCCGUCGUGCCGUUGAAACUGAGGUUCGUGAGUGGGCGAGAAGUAUGCGGAAUGCGUGGUGUAGCGGUGAAAUGCAUAGAUAUCACGCAGAACUCCGAUUGCGAAGGCAGCAUACCGGCGCCCAACUGACGCUGAAGCACGAAAGCGUGGGUAUCGAACAGGAUGAGAUACCCUUGUAGUC